rnacentral:rRNA from 1 species
UCGCUUGUUUUUACAAAAACAUGUCUUUUUGAAUUAUAUAUAAAGUCUAACCUGCCCACUGAAAAUUUUUUAACGGCCGCAGUAUUUUGACUGUGCAAAGGUAGCAUAAUCAUUAGUCUUUUAAUUGAAGGCUGGAAUGAAUGGUUGGACGAAAUAUUAACUGUUUCAUUUGAAUUUUUAUUAGAAUUUUAUUUUUUAGUCAAAAAGCUAAAAUUUAUUUAAAAGACGAGAAGACCCUAUAAAUCUUUAUAUUUUAUUUAUUUUAAUUAUAAAGAUUAAUUUAAUUUUAAUAAAUUAAAAUAUUUUAUUGGGGUGAUAUUAAAAUUUAAAAAACUUUUAAUUUUUAAAAACAUUAAUUUAUGAAUAAUUGAUCCAUUAAUAAUGAUUAAAAAAUUAAGUUACUUUAGGGAUAACAGCGUAAUUUUUUUGGAGAGUUCAUAUCGAUAAAAAAGAUUGCGACCUCGAUGUUGGAUUAAGAUAUAAUUUUGGGUGUAGCCGUUCAAAUUUUAAGUCUGUUCGACUUUUAAAUUCUUAC